rnacentral:misc_RNA from 1 species
AUGUUUUCAGAUAUAAUCAGCAAAAUGGCAGCAAGUCAAUAUUACCAUGUACAGUGCACACCCACCGUGUAUCCGGCCGAUCCCUUCGAUCCGGAAGCCGACGCGAAUCUUUUGCGAACGGCGAUGAAGGGUUUCGGGACUGACGAGCAGGCCAUCAUCGACGUUCUGGCUCAUCGAGGCAUCGUGCAGCGACUGGAAAUCGCCGAUAAAUUUAAGACUAUGUUCGGCAAGGAUCUCAUUUCCGAGCUGAAGUCCGAAUUGACCGGCAACUUUGAAAGAGUCAUCGUCGCUCUGAUGACGCCUCUUCCCGAGUAUUACGCCAAAGAGCUGCACGACGCAGUUUCCGGCAUGGGCACCGACGAAGGCGCACUCAUCGAAGUUCUUGCGUCUUUGAGCAACUACGGCAUCAAGACAAUCUCGGCCGUCUACAAAGAUCUGUAUGACAAGGACCUGGAAGACGCAAUUAAGGGCGACACUUCCGGUCACUUCAAGAGGCUCUUGGUAUCGUUGUCCUGUGCCAGCAGAAACGAGAACACCGACGUGGACGAGGAGGCCGCGGUUCAGGAGGCUGAGAGACUUCUCGCCGCGGGCGAAGGACAAUGGGGCACGGAUGAGAGCACCUUCAACGCGAUUCUCAUCACCAAGAGCUACCCGCAAUUGCGAAGGAUCUUCAAGGAAUAUGAACGCAUCGCUGGCCAUAGCUUGGAAGACGCUAUCAAGCGAGAAUUCUCCGGUUCUCUUGAGGACGGCUACCUAGCUGUGGUGAGAUGCGGCCGCGACAAGACUGCUUACUUCGCGCAAAGGCUGUACAAAGCUAUGCGCGGAUUCGGCACGACCGACUCGACAUUAAUUCGCAUAAUUGUGACGCGAUCGGAAAUCGAUCUGGGUGACAUUAAGGAAGCUUAUGAGAGACUGUACGGGAAAUCCCUUGCAGAAGCUAUCGAUGAUGACUGUUCAGGCGACUACAAGAGACUCUUGCUUGCCCUUCUGGGAUGAAAAUAUUUCGAUCGUGCAACAGCUUCUUUUUAGCGAGAAUAAAUAUCUUAAAGUCGCGGAGAUUAUAUCACAAGAAUAUGUUUUGUUACAUCCUGCAAAUACCUGAUUAAAUCAGUUCCUUAUACUUUUGCCGAUCGUUAGUGAACGAUUGCUCGGCUGAGUGGAAAAGAUUAUUGAUAGCAAUGUUGAAUUAAAGAGUAGCUAAGUGUGCGAAUUGUAAGGAUGGAGGUUGGAAAUGAUAUUUUCGUACCGUGUGAAUAUGUAAUCAACAUCUUUUUUUAUAUACAUGAUUUGUACAUGUAACAUUUAUAUGAGAAAGUAAAAAAUAAAAUAUAGUAUAAUAAA